CCAAUGCCUCUAGUUCAUUAGCUUUACCGGAUAAAACUGCUGAGGCGAGCGCCAGCUAUCCUGCCUCUAGUCAUUAGCUUUACCGGAUAAAGCCUCUAGUAUUAGCUUUACCGGAUAAAACUGCUGAAGCGAGCGCCGGCUAUCCUGAGGAAAACUUCGGGAGCGAACCCACUACUAGAUUGUUUCCUCCGAAGUUUCCCUCAGGAUAGCUGGCGCUCCCUCAGCACCUCAGGAUAGCUGGCGCUCGCCUCAGCAGUAGUAGCUGGUUCCCUCCGAAGUUUCCCUUAGGAUAGCUGGCGCUCGCCUUCAGCAGUUUUAUCCGGUUAAAGGCUAAUAUAACUAGAGGCAUUGGGGCCGAAACGAUCUCAACCUAUUCUCCAACCUUUAAAUGGGUAAGGAGGCCCGGCUCGCUGGCUUGGAGCCGGGGAUGGAAUGCGAGUGCCCAGAGUGGGCCCACUUUUGGGUUAAGGCAGAACUGGCGCUGCGGGAUGAACCGAACGCCGGUUAAGGCGCCCGACGCCGACGCUCAUCAGACCCCAUACGCCGACGCUCAUCAGACCCCAUGAAAUGGUUGUGGGUUGAUAUAGACAGCAGGACGGUGGCCAUGGAAGUUGAAUCCGCUAAGGAGUGUGUAAAAACUCACCUGCCGAAUCGCCUAGCCCUGAAAAUGGAUGGCGCUGGAGCGUCGGGCCCAUACCCGGCCUCGCCGGCCAGAGAGAGGGGCUCAGUCCCUUCCCGGGCUUACGCCGCGACGAGUAGGAGGGCCGCCGCGGUGGCGCACAGAAGCCUCGGGCGCGGGCCCGGUGGAGCCGCCGCGGGUGCAGGUCUUGGUGGUAGUAGCAAAUUAUUCAAACGAGAGCUUUGAAGGCCGAAGUUGAAGAAGGGGUCCCAUGUGAACAGCAGUUGAACAUGGGUCAGUCGGUCCUAAGGGAUGGGGCGAACCCCGUUCGGAAGCGGGGGGCGAGGGCCUCCGUCGCCCCCGGCCGAUCGAAAGGGAGUCGGAUUAAGAUCCCCGAAACCGGGAGUGGCGGAGAUAAGCGCCGCGAAGCGCCCAGUGCGGUUAACCGAAAAGAACCUGGAGACGCCAGCGGGGGCACCGGGAAGAGUUUCUUUUCUUUGUGAAUGGCAGGGCUCCCCGGGAUUGGGUUCAACCCGGAGAUAGGGGCCCACGCCCUGGAAAGGCGCCGCGGCUCUGCGGGCGCGGUAAGCUCUCGCUGGCCCUUGAAAAUCCCGGGGAAGAGGGGGUAAGUCUCGCGCCGGGCCGUACCCAAUAUCCGCAGCAGGUCUUCAAGGUGAACAGCCUCUGGCAUGUUGGGGACCAAUUGUAGGUAAGGGGAGGUCGGCAAGGUCAGAUCCGUAACUUCGGGAUAAGGAUUGGCUCUAAGGGCCUGGGUCGGUCCGGCCCGGGGAGGGCGGGGUGGGUCGGGCCAGGGGGCGAGGGGGGGCUGGGCUCGAGCCGGCGACUGGGGGAGCGGCUGCCCCGUGCCCCGUCGUUCCGCCCCUCGUCCGAAAGCCUCGGAGUGCGUCGCGCCCGUCUUCUGUCAUCGUCCGGAGGCCCGGCCGUUUCGGCGGUCGGGUCGCUCGGGCGACGGCGGGGGGGUCCGGGCUCGGCUCUACGCUCCGGGGCCGGUAGGGCGGGGUACGGGCGGGCGGCGGGCCACGGAGCAGUAGCCGUGACUCUGGGCGUGCGCCGGGCUGCUCCGUGGAUCUCCCCCGCCUACGGUGGUGCGUCGGGACCUCCGCGUCCGUCCUCUCCGGUUCGCGCCGGGGGGGGGUCGCGGCGCGCGGGGGAACCCCUCCCGGCGUGACGCCUCGGCCGGCACCUAACAACUGGGUUAGAACUGGUGCGGGCCAGGGGAAUCCGACUGUUUAAUUUAAACCAAAGCAUCGUGAGGGCCUCUGAGGCGGGUGUUGACAAGAUGUGAGUUCUGCCCAGUGCUCUGAAAUUGUUAAAGGUGAAGAAAUUCAAUGAAGGCGCGGGUUAAACGGCGGGAGGUAACUAUGACUCUCUUAUGUAGCCAAUGCCUCGUCCUUCUAAUUAGUGGACGCGCAUGAAUUGAAUGAACGAGAUAUUCCCCUGUCCCUUACCUAAUACACCUAGCGAAACCCACAGCCAAGGGAACGGGCUUGGCCAGAAUCAGCGGGGAAGGAGGACCCUGUUGAGGUUUGACUCUAGUCUGGCACUGUGAGAAGAGACAAGAGGGGUGGAAGAAUAAAGUGGGAGGCCCCGCUCGUCGGGUUGCCGCCAGUGAAAUACCACUACUCUUAUCGUUUCUCACUAACCCGGUGAGGCGGGGAGGCGGGCCCCCGGGGGCUCUCGCUUCCUGGUGGUCUCAAGCGCCCCGGGGGCCCUGAGGGUCUCGGGGCCGCGACCCCGCUCCGGGGAGACAGUGGCAGGGGGGGGGGUUGACUGGGGCGGUACCACCUGUCAAACCGUAAUCGCAGGUGUCCUAAGGCAAGCUCAGGGAGGACAGAAACCCUCCCGUGGAGCAGAAGGGCAAAAGGCUUGCUUGAUCUUGAUUUUCAGUAUGAAUACGGACCCGCGAAAGCGGGGCCUCACGAUCCUUCUGGAUUUUUGGGUGGCUUUUUGGGUUUUAAGCAGGAGGUGUCAGAGAAAGUUACACAGGGAUAACUGGCUUGUGGCGGGCAAAGCGUUCAUAGCGACGGGCCGCUUUUUGAUCCUCGAUGUCGGCCUUCCUAUCAUUGUGAAGCAGAAUUCACAAAGCGUUGGAUUUUCACCCACUAACAGGGAACGUGAGCUGGGUUUAGACCGUCGUGAGCAGGUUAGUUUUACCCUACUGAUAAUGUGUUCGCAAUAGUAAUCCUGCUCAGUACGAGAAGGGGAACUGCAGGUUCAGACUCUGGUGCAUGUGCUUGGCUGAGGAGCCAAUGGUGCGAACCUACCAUCUGUGGGAUUAUGACUGAACUCCUCUAAGUCAGAAUCCCGCCUAGACGGAACGAUAUCCGCAGUGCCGAGGACCUACGGUUGGUCAGGCGUAGCCGGGGUGGUCCCUCCCCUGUGAGCAGAGCCGCUCGCUAACGUUCUCGGGGUGCGGCCGACUCGCUAACGGUCUCGGGGUGCGGCCGAAAGUAACGGUCUCGGGGUGCGGCCGAAAGAAUGCCGCGCCCCACCCCGGAAAACGCGUUCACCGCAUGUUUGUGGUUCACGGCGUGAAAUGACUCGUAGACGACCUGAUUCAAUGUCAGGGUUUCGUAAGUGGCAGAGCAGCACCGCGCUGCGAUCCAUUAAGAAUCAUCCCUGUACUCAAACUUUUGUCCAUUUG
rnacentral:rRNA from 1 species